CCUAGAAUACCCAGAAAGAAAGAUUUAUUGAUUUGCUCCAGAACUUAAGUACAUAACAAAGUUAGAAGGUUAUAAGGACAGCCAACAUUGGCUCUGGUAAGUAUGAAUUGCUCUUGUCAAAAUCAUGUUAUGAA